UACGGGGGGGGCAAGCGUUGUUCGGAAUUACUGGGCGUAAAGGGCUCGUAGGCGGCCAACUAAGUCCGACGUGAAAUCCCCAGGCUUAACCUGGGAACUGCGUCGGAUACUGGAUGGCUUGAAUUCGGGAGAGGGAUGCAGAAUUCCAGGUGUAGCGGUGAAAUGCGUAGAUAUCUGGAGGAAUACCGGUGGCGAAGGCGGCAUCCUGGACCGACAUUGACGCUGAGACACGAAAGCGUGGGGAGCAAACAGG
rnacentral:rRNA from 1 species